rnacentral:rRNA from 5 species
AGACCCGAAACCCGGUGAUCUAGCCAUGGGCAGGUUGAAGGUUGGGUAACACUAACUGGAGGACCGAACCGACUAAUGUUGAAAAAUUAGCGGAUGACCUGUGGCUGGGGGUGAAAGGCCAAUCAAACCGGGAGAUAGCUGGUUCUCCCCGAAAGCUAUUUAGGUAGCGCCUCGUGAAUUCAUCUCCGGGGGUAGAGCACUGUUUCGGCUAGGGGGCCAUCCCGGCUUACCAACCCGAUGCAAACUGCGAAUACCGGAGAAUGUUAUCACGGGAGACACACGGCGGGUGCUAACGUCCGUCGUGAAGAGGGAAACAACCCAGACCGCCAGCUAAGGUCCCAAAGUCAUGGUUAAGUGGGAAACGAUGUGGGAAGGCCCAGACAGCCAGGAUGUUGGCUUAGAAGCAGCCAUCAUUUAAAGAAAGCGUAAUAGCUCACUGGUCGAGUCGGCCUGCGCGGAAGAUGUAACGGGGCUAAACCAUGCACCGAAGCUGCGGCAGCGAACGUAUCACCCAAGACAACUUUACGGAGUUGACGAUUGACGGAGCGAAGCGACGUCAAAGCGUUCAUUAAAGUCGAGUUGGCUUAGGGAUACGUUCGUUGGGUAGGGGAGCGUUCUGUAAGCCUGUGAAGGUGUGUCGUGAGGCAUGCUGGAGGUAUCAGAAGUGCGAAUGCUGACAUAAGUA